rnacentral:rRNA from 1 species
GACGAACCGUGCGAACGUUGUUCGGAUUCACUGGGCUUAAAGGGCGCGUAGGCGGAAGGUCUUGUCCGAGGUGAAAUCUUUCGGCUCAACCGGAAAAGUGCCUCGGAGACGGAUCUUCUCGAGGGAGGUAGGGGCAUGUGGAACUUCCGGUGGAGCGGUGAAAUGCGUAGAUAUCGGGAGGAACACCUGUGGCGAAAGCGGCUCACUGGACCAUUACUGACGCUGAGGCUCGAAAGCUAGGGGAGCAAACAGG